AGAGUUUGAUCCUGGCUCAGAACGAACGCUGGCGGCAGGCCUAACACAUGCAAGUCGAGCGCACCCUUCGGGGCGAGCGGCGGACGGGUUAGUAACGCGUGGGAACGUACCCUUGUCUACGGAAUAGCCAUUGGAAACGAUGAGUAAUACCGUAUACGCCCUUCGGGGGAAAGAUUUAUCGGACAAGGAUCGGCCCGCGUUAGAUUAGAUAGUUGGUGGGGUAAUGGCCUACCAAGUCUACGAUCUAUAGCUGGUUUUAGAGGAUGAUCAGCAACACUGGGACUGAGACACGGCCCAGACUCCUACGGGAGGCAGCAGUGGGGAAUCUUAGACAAUGGGCGCAAGCCUGAUCUAGCCAUGCCGCGUGUGUGAUGAAGGCCUUAGGGUCGUAAAGCACUUUCGCCAGGGAUGAUAAUGACAGUACCUGGUAAAGAAACCCCGGCUAACUCCGUGCCAGCAGCCGCGGUAAUACGGAGGGGGUUAGCGUUGUUCGGAAUUACUGGGCGUAAAGCGUACGUAGGCGGAUUGGAAAGUUGGGGGUGAAAUCCCAGGGCUCAACCCUGGAACUGCCUCCAAAACUAUCAGUCUAGAGUUCGAGAGAGGUGAGUGGAAUUCCAAGUGUAGAGGUGAAAUUCGUAGAUAUUUGGAGGAACACCAGUGGCGAAGGCGGCUCACUGGCUCGAUACUGACGCUGAGGUACGAAAGUGUGGGGAGCAAACAGGAUUAGAUACCCUGGUAGUCCACACCGUAAACGAUGAAUGCCAGUCGUCGGGCAGUAUACUGUUCGGUGACACACCUAACGGAUUAAGCAUUCCGCCUGGGGAGUACGGUCGCAAGAUUAAAACUCAAAGGAAUUGACGGGGGCCC
rnacentral:rRNA from 1 species